ACCAUCUGGGGAUCUUGUUAAAAUGCAGAUUCUGAUUUGGUAGGCAUUAGGUGGAGAUUCUGCAUUUCUAACAAACUUCAAGGUGAUGCUGA
rnacentral:pre_miRNA from 1 species